UGGUGCGAUCAUACCAACGUUAAUGUAACUGAUUUCAUUUAUGUAGUUAAACGUGCUUAGGCUAGAGUAGUAGUGGGAUAGGUGAUCUCUCGAGAAAUCCUAGUGUUACACCCU
rnacentral:rRNA from 1 species